AAUUGAUAAUGCAACCGAUUUGAUUCUGCAGAAAACCAUUAAGACUGAGUUUGCAAAUUGCACAGUAAUCACUGUGGCCCACAGGAUACCAACCGUGAUGGAUUGCACUAUGGUUCUUGCCAUCAGUGACGGAAAGCUGGCAGAGUAUGAUGAGCCAAUGACCUUGAUGAAGAAUGAAAAAUCAUUGUUUGGGCAGCUUGUCAAGGAAUACUGGUCUCAUUUUCAGUUUGCAGAAUCACAUUGAAGGGAAGAAUUUGUUUUUAUGCCAACAUCUUUUCUCUAUCUCUGCCACCA